AGUGAACGCUGGCGGUAGGCCUAACACAUGCAAGUCGAACGGCAGCACAGUAAGAGCUUGCUCUUACGGGUGGCGAGUGGCGGACGGGUGAGGAAUACAUCGGAAUCUACUUUUUCGUGGGGGAUAACAUAGGGAAACUUACGCUAAUACCGCAUACGACCUACGGGUGAAAGCAGGGGAUCUUCGGACCUUGCGCGAUUGAAUGAGCCGAUGUCGGAUUAGCUAGUUGGCGGGGUAAAGGCCCACCAAGGCGACGAUCCGUAGCUGGUCUGAGAGGAUGAUCAGCCACACUGGAACUGAGACACGGUCCAGACUCCUACGGGAGGCAGCAGUGGGGAAUAUUGGACAAUGGGCGCAAGCCUGAUCCAGCCAUACCGCGUGGGUGAAGAAGGCCUUCGGGUUGUAAAGCCCUUUUGUUGGGAAAGAAAAGCAGCAGGUUAAUACCCCGCUGUUCUGACGGUACCCAAAGAAUAAGCACUGGCUAACUUCGUG
rnacentral:rRNA from 1 species